UACGUAGGGGGCAAGCGUUGUCCGGAAUCAUUGGGCGUAAAGCGCGCGUAGGCGGCCCGAUCAGUCCGCUGUAAAAGUCCAGGGCUCAACCCUGGAAAGCCGGUGGAUACUGUCGGGCUAGAGUCCGGAAGAGGCGAGUGGAAUCCUGGUGUAGCGGUGGAAUGCGCAGAUAUCAGGAAGAACACCAACGGCGAAGGCAGCUCGCUGGGACGGUACUGACGCUGAGACGCGAAAGCGUGGGGAGCGAACAGG
rnacentral:rRNA from 1 species